rnacentral:rRNA from 1 species
AUGCUGGAGGUGGCCGCGGUCGUUGCUAUGGAGGGCUCGCCACCCGCCUCCGGAGUCCCACGUCCUCGAGAUCAACGAGAUUGCCAAGCCGAGGUCAUCAUCUCUCGACGGGCUCCUCCAUCACUUCUGGUUUCACACAAUGGCUGUGGGCUGCCUCUCCCUCUCGAUCCUGCGCUCCUCCUCCUCCGGUUCAGGUUUCAGGCCGUGGCUUAUGGUCGCCUCUCCAUAUCCAUCCUUCCAAUCUGGAGCACAGGUGGAGAGCCUGGCUGUGUGUGGCGGAGAUGGCGCCCCGCAUCUGCGCCCUAUAAGCCCAGACAGAGCUCCGCCGAGGCCAUGACCUCCACAGGUGUUCUUACAUCUCCUGAAUGGAUGUUUCUCUUUGCAUUUCGGCCGCUCGGCCCACUUCCGAUGAUCCACUACAUCAUCACUGUUUGCGGAGGAUCACAGGUGUACUGCCAGCAGUUUCAAUUUAACCGGGUGGUUGCCAUCAUCGUGAGACUACCAACUGGAGGAGCUGCAACGGCUCUUUAUUCCAGCCGUAUCCGAUGCCCCGAGCCGGAACUUUCAGGUCACCUACAGCACACGGUGCUCGUGGCGCGCCGUUGGCGCCGGCGUCGGCGGGGACACGGGAAGUCUGAUGAGGUCUCGGGGUGUGUCUUGUGCUUGAUUUUUGACACCACGAGCUCCUGGAGGGGAGGCCGCAAGGCGGGAGAGCCAGCAGCGGCAUUCUGUUUGGGGAUGCGUGGAUCUGGUGAUGCUGGAGCAGGGGAACAGGAAACAUCACAUCCGCAACGGCGUUUCAAAUAG